GCACUCACCUCAUUUAGUAGGAGACUCACAUUUUUCCCAGUCUUCCUUUUACUGCUGACAUACGUAAAAGAAAAAAAAACAACAAAAAAAAAACCACUUUCUUGUUAUCCUUUAUCUCCUUUGCAGUGUUUAAUUCCAAGACAGCCUCAGCCCUCCUUCAGGCCCUGAAAACAUUCCUUUAUUCUUCCUAGGUGAACAGGUCCUUUUACCACAUUUCAUGGACCUUCUUCUUUCCCUUUGAAUUAUCCAUGAGUUCCUUGCUCAUCCACACAGGCCUUUUGCCACCUUUCCCUGAUUUCUUACUCUUAGGGAUGCACCAAUCCUGAGCAUGGAAGAAGUGGUAUUUACAUGUCAACUAACUCUCAUGAACCCCCUCGCCUUCUAAUGCUCUAGCCCCUGGAAUACUUCCAAAUAGGUCUUUGAAGAUGUCAAAAUUAGCUCUCCUGAAGCCCAGGGUAGCAAUCCUGCUUAUUUCUUUGCUUCUUCCACACUGAACUCUGCCAUCUCAUGAUCACUGCAUCUCAACCUACCUCCAACUUUCACAUCCCCAGCCAGCCAGCCCUUCCCUAUUAGUAAGAACAAGGUCAAGUAGCGCACCCAUCCUCAUUGGUUCCUCUGCCACCACUGUCAGAAAGUUAUCUUCAACACAUUGCAAGAACCAUCUGGACCUUGUGUGUCUGGCCAUGUUGCUUAUCCAACAAACAUCAAGAUGAUUCAAGUCCCCCAUAAGAACCAGUGCUGAGGAUUACAAGGAUACUUCCAGCUGUUUUUAGAAGGCCUCAUCAACUUCUUCCUCCUGAUCAGGUGGCCUAUACUACACACCCACAGCAGUAUCACCUAUGUUAGCCCACCCCUUAAUUCUUACCCACAAGCUCUCCACUUUUUCAUCAUUCACCCCUAUGUGGAGCUCAAUGCAUUUUAGUUGCUCUCUCACAUAAAGAGCAACUCCACCACAUCUCCGGGCAACCCAUUCCACUGCUGCACCACUCUUACUGUAAAAACUUCUUCAUAAUAUCCAAUUUAAAUCUCCCCUCUUUUAGUUUGAAACCGUUUUCUCUUGUCCUAUCACCAAAGGUGCUGCUAAAGAGUCUGUUCCCUUCUGUCUUAUAGCCCCUCUUUAGAUACUGAAUGGCCGCCAUCAGGAUCACCUCCCUCAGCCUACUGGCUACGCUUCUUUUGAUGCAGCCCAGGAUACUGUUAGCUUUCACGUGUCCAGCUUACCAUCCACCAGUAUCCCCAGGUUCUUUUUGGCAGAGUUGUGCUCAAUCAUUUCAUCCACUAGCUUGUACUGACAGUGGAGAUUGCCUUGACUCUGGUGCAAUAUCAUGCACUUGGAUUUGUUGAACCUCCAAGUCCUCCUAUGCUCACAGCCUGUCUAGGUCCUUCUGGAUUGCACCCUGUCCGUCAGGGCCCAUAAUCAAGUCUUUUUUCUGCGUAAUCAAGAGAGCGGUUAAACAGCUGAGAGUCAUAAAAGAACAGGAAGAAUUUUAAGAUGCAGAGAAAUUAAAUUUGCUCCAGUUUUCAAAGGAUUAAUCCAGCCCUCAUCUCUCCUUUGACAUCUCUUGGCUACAUCCAAAUAGUCGUCUGCCUGUUCUUCCUCCACAAAAUAUGAAGGGAUGUUACUUGGGCUACCUCAUUCCCUGCCGGUUGCUAAUGGAAAAUAGUACUGCUGUGCAGGGAGACUUGUUUUAUAGGUGUUUUUCUUCUAUCUGGUUUUACAGUUCUCUACCGCCACUGUUCAGCAUUCCCUGGAUUGCUCUGCCGUUCUCUGGCCAUCCAUAUAUGUUUUGCAAACUGAGUGACACAAAGGCCUCUAAAAAAGGAAACACCUCUCACAAAACACUUUGCACUGUUCAUUGCUAUUUCUCUUAAGACAGGAGAACGGUUGCCUCCUAUCACCCUUAAGUUCCAUUUAAAAGCUGGUCAAUCCUACUGGAUACACCAGCCUUCCACUGCUCAGUCCUGGUGCCCGCAUAAGGACAGCUUUACAAAAUGAGUACUCCCUUUUCCCCUGCUAGGGCUUGACACACACUUGUAAGAUUAACAGCUAUGGAAUCUAGUGUUGUUUUAUUUUGUCAUCAGUUUUCAGUGAUAUCAUAGUCUUUUCAUUCCAGCACCUUUCACUUCCCAGUCCUUAAACUAAUAUACUGAUCCCUAUUACUAAAUAAACCAGACUAUAUCACCACUUUUUAAGCUGAGAUGUAGUUUUUCCUCUGUCCUUCUCCUUGUACAUACACUAGACUGUGCAUAAACAGCAAAGCACAAGAACUUUACAGCAAGCAGUUCCAAGUCUAACUAGGGCCUAGAGUACUGCCUACCUGAUAGUUGUGUAUAAUUUAAAGAACACUAACUGCAGAAUUUCCAAGUACUUGAUUUAAAGAAUCUUAUAUUUUUAUUAAAGUAGUUUUGCAGACUGACCAAAUAUGUUGUACUAUGGUUGAUUUUAUUGUGUAGCUACAUGGCUCCAUGCCCAUUGACUUCAAGCAAGUACAGCACUACUGCUGGAUCACAACAGUGCUAGACUGAAAGAACCAUAAUAUGAAAUUUGCAACUACAGUUUAAUCUACUUUAAAAAUAUGAAAUCUAGUAUGGUUAAUAUACCUAUCUUAAACUAAAAACUUUACCUGGAGAAAAUAAGUAGGUAUUUUUCAGUGCUCUGAUACUGACCUUAUUUUGAAUCAACAACUCUCUGAUUAUUUUGCACAAAAAACAAACAAACAAACAAAAAAACCCACAAAACUCCGCUUAACUUAGUAGCAAUGGAGAAACACAAGUCCAAAGAGAAAAAGCUCUGCCUCAAAUCUGAAGAGCAGAAUUGAGAAUCCAUUCUUUUUUCCCCCACCUCUCAACAGAAGUCUGGGCUAGAAUUCUCUCUCUUAUACUUUAUUUAAAGGCCUCUCUGCUCUAUUUGUUUUUCUAGCAUACUGUCCGUAUGGUAAAAACUGUGUGGAAAAAAUAUAGAAAAGAAACAAUUUGAACAUUACAGGGAAAGGUAUUUGAAAAAAAAAAAAAUAACAUCUACACAAAACAUGAUACAGUUGUGCUGUCUGUUGGGAUUUACCCAUGACUGUCCUUAGAGCCAAGAAAUACCAGAAGAGAGAUACUAUAGCUGGUAUUUGAAAAACUUCACGUACUCUCAGAAAGAUGCAUAUGAAAACAAUGAAAUUGGAAGCUUUUUUUUUUUUUUUUAAAUAGGAAGCAGAUUGCCAUUUGGAAAAAUUGCAGUGAGGUUAUUCCAUGUUUCAAUUUCUCUUUGGGUGAUGGGAGGAAAAGUUCACCUUGAAAACCAGAGAGUUUUACAGCAGAAACAGAAGACAGCAGAAAGAACUGAUGUGACAGCUCAGUCUAACAGAAACAAACCCGCCUAUUCCCCUCAGAAACUGCUAGUAAGACAUAAUGCAGUGUCUGCCAGUGAACUGAAUCACUUUAACAUGACUCUCACAUGUCAUUUAUUAAGCUAAAUAGACAUAAAACUGCAAAUAUCAAAUUGCCUCUAUGUGGUAAUACACAAAAAUGAGAAUUAAAUGCAACUUCCCAUCCUGCUCCUGCCUUACAAAUAUUUAUCAGCCAAGAGAAUGAUCCACAAAAGCUUUUUUUUUUUUUUUUUUUCCAUUUAGCAAAUAUCACAAUAAGACAUUAACCCUUUUAUCACAACAUGCACAAUAUGCCUUACUAGUACAAUUUCUUCUCUGAAAGAAGAAAGGGCCACAUAACUUUCUCUGCCCAGAUACAACACUGUAUGACAAAAGCCUGGAGGGACUGGGGACACCCCUUAUCAACACCAUUUUUUUGAGGCUUACAAUUUAUAUGGGAUUUUUUGUUUUUAUUUUGUUUGGUUUUUUGCUGUUCUGUUUGUUUGUUAUUUACUAAGUUUCCUGGACAAGGAAUGCAUCGGUUUUAAUAAUGCACAUACUAUUGCAAUAUAUAAUUAUCACUAUGAAUAUUGAAAUCUUAACAGUAAUCUGCAGUUAGAGCAUUUUCAGAAGAUACAAAAAUCAAAUAAAAGUGUAAUUUCUCUCAAUAAAGAGUGAUUUAUUAUUACCCAGAUUGUGCAGUAGUCAAUUUUACUC
ensembl:lncRNA